UAAAGUUGUUGCAGUUAAAAAGCUCGUAGUUGAAUUUCGGGAUUAGUAAGUUGGUCGUGCCUCUGGUAUGUACUGGCUUUACUGGUUCCUCCUUCUUGAAGAACUGUAAUGUCAUUAAUUUGGUGUUGCAGGGAAACAGGACUGUUACUUUGAAAAAAUUAGAGUGUUUAAAGCAGGCUAACGCUUGAAUACAUUAGCAUGGAAUAAUGAAAUAGGACGUUUGAUCCUAUUUUGUUGGUUUCUAGGAUUGACGUAAUGAUUAAUAGGG
rnacentral:rRNA from 1 species